AACGAACGCUGGCGGCAUGCCUAACACAUGCAAGUCGAACGAGACCUUCGGGUCUAGUGGCGCACGGGUGCGUAACACGUGGGAAUUUGCCUCGGGGUAUGGAAUAACUCAGGGAAACUUGAGCUAAUACCAUAUAAUGUCUUCGGACCAAAGAUUUAUCGCCCUGAGAUAAGCCCGCGUAGGAUUAGCUAGUUGGUGGGGUAAAGGCUCACCAAGGCGACGAUCCUUAGCUGGUCUGAGAGGAUGAUCAGCCACACUGGGACUGAGACACGGCCCAGACUCCUACGGGGAGGCAGCAGUGGGGAAUAUUUGGACAAUGGGCGGAAAGCCUGAUCCAGCAAUGCCGGC
rnacentral:rRNA from 1 species